CUGAAUCUCCAUUCGUGGGCUCUGAGCUCCUGACAUUGAUUUUACCACUGCAGUAAUAGGGAAAAUUAUGUGAAUUGGUGGCAGAAGCAAGUUACAUGAUACCCGAGUGUCCAACAGGCCAUUUCUGCUGGAACAUCUUUGCUGCCCAUAUAUCUUGGGCUCUCACUUGUGCCUGUCCUGGCCAUCCUUGUACGUGGGGCAUCUGCCUGGCUGGAAGAUGGCAGUGAGGAGUCCUGUAACCAGACCCUUCACACGUGCUCCUUCCCUGCAUAGCUGCUUCCAGAAAUCUCCGGGUUUCAAUCCAUUGGCUGUUUCAAGCAAGUGGCUCCUGUGCCCACAUCCAUAGCUUGUAAGAAGUGUAAGAGCUGGGAGCAGCAGACAGAGAUGCCCACACUGGACCAGGUCCCACGUGUUUUCUUUGGCAGGGGUCUGCCUGCCUGCACGAGACUGGCCCAGCUCUUCCUGCUCCUGAGGGUGAAAAACUCCUGAGGCUUUGCUGAUGGAGCGGUCAGAGCAAGGCCAACCACGUCAGGCCACAUCCUGCCCCGCUGCAAUAAGUGAGAUCAUGAGAAUAUUACUGUGUUGACAGAAUCAGCUGUUCCUU